rnacentral:rRNA from 1 species
GAUGAACGCUGGCGGCGUGCCUAAUACAUGCAAGUCGAGCGAACGGACGAGAAGCUUGCUUCUCUGAUGUUAGCGGCGGACGGGUGAGUAACACGUGGAUAACCUACCUAUAAGACUGGGAUAACUUCGGGAAACCGGAGCUAAUGCCGGAUGAUAUUUUGAACCGCAUGGUUCAAAAGUGAAAGACGGUCUUGCUGUCACUUAUAGAUGGAUCCGCGCUGCAUUAGCUAGUUGGUAAGGUAACGGCUUACCAAGGCAACGAUGCAUAGCCGACCUGAGGGGGUGAUCGGCCACACUGGAACUGAGACACGGUCCAGACUCCUACGGGAGGCAGCAGUGGGGAAUCUUCCGCAAUGGGCGAAAGCCUGACGGAGCAACGCCGCGUGAGUGAUGAAGGUCUUCGGAUCGUAAAACUCUGUUAUUAGGGAAGAACAUAUGUGUAAGUAACUGUGCACAUCUUGACGGUACCUAAUCAGAAAGCCACGGCUAACUACGUG